GUGGAUGUAGCUCAGUUGGUCAGAGCGUCGGAUUGUGGUUCCGAAGGUCGCCGGUUCGAGCCCGGUCUUCCACCC
rnacentral:tRNA from 1 species